rnacentral:tRNA from 2 species
GCCGGCUUAGCUCAGAGGUUCGAGCAUCGCACUUGUAAUGCGAGGGUCAUCGGUUCAAUUCCGAUAGCCGGCU